ensembl:lincRNA Gm37218 predicted gene, 37218
GGAAUUCACUUGCCAGACAUGGAGGAAGUCAGAUGUAUGGGGUCUGAAUUAGAGGUAACAGGCCGCAUGGUAAAGAUGGCUGGCGGAUCCGAGACUGUUCUGUGAUACACGUCAGAAACAAAUACUCAGUGAACACUGCUAUGAGCCAGCACCUCAAUCGUUGUGGAGGGCAGUGUCCAAAGAUGAAAAGACCCAGCAGCCCCGGAUGCAGGGCUACCUCUUGUGUGGAGGAUGGGGCUUGCUGCAAAGAGAGUUAAGUGUGAAGAACCACGGAUGCUCCAGGCAUGAGGAGGUGCACGGGGCCCUCUCCAGGAUCACCGCCGUUUGUCUGCAUCAAAACACACUCAUUGAGCAACUAAUCGCACCUGGCUCUGCACUUCGAUUUUGUUU